CGGCGAGCAGCUAUAAACAAAACAGACCCAGUCCACCCAGAGGAUUGAGAACAAAAGGCAAACAGGAGUGCUUGAAUCUACAAAGAAGCAGAUUUUGCUGCUCCAGAAAGAUGGGUUAUUUGUCCCCCCAAGGACAAAAGACAGUUUGGAAGAGCUGAUGAGCUGAGUUAUUGGGGGCAAUGGGAAAAUCGUCUUCCUCCGUGUGCUUCAGUUUCCGUCUCUGUGAAGUGGGAAUGAUAGUAACACACACCAGGUAAGACUUUGCGGUGAGGAUUAAAUGAGCACAUCUUGUGUACGUAGAACAGGGUCUGACGUGUAUUCAGCACUGGCUUUGUCCCCAUCUAUUAUUGAUAUUUUACAAGCAUUUAUUGAGCAUUUCUUAUAUUCUGGCAUUGUGCCGGACACUAAAGACAGUGAUCAAGAUUUAUUAAGAUUUAUUUCCUUCAGCCAGGAGUGGGUUGUGGGGAAACCACAGUUAAUUAAAACGUACUGUGACAAGUGGUUGGCCCGAUGCCCUUGGUAAUGGGAGAGACACUAACAUCUAGGGUCUUACAUUUCUCCUGAGACUCAAAAUGCAAACCUACACAGGCAAACCACAGUCUGUUCUGUGGAUCUCCCUACUAAGGGACCCUGGAACGAUGAGGCAAUGCCAUAUGCCAGUGGAAACACUCGGGGCAGGGCUGACAGGAGCUCCAAGCAGCAGUCUGGGACUGGACAAAGGAGCAGAGCUGGGGAGGAGGGCCACGGCGGGGGAGGACUGGGGUCUUAGGACCAGACGCUGCACAAGCUGCCAGGGUGCCCUGGGACCUGAUUACACCCUGGAGUUUAUGGGCCAGCAGGAGCUAAGACACAGAGAGGCAGAGCUGGGCUGACUUCCUCCCCAGUGACAGUGUAUUAUGUGGUCUUUUUUGAAGGCAUGUGGCCAGGACCCCAUGCCUACCAACCCCCUGAGUUAAGUGGGCGCUUGCUGUGUGCAGUAGGUGCAGUGAAAGCUGAGCCCUGAGGAUCCAAGGAUGAAACAGAGUCAGAAGAAUAAACAUGGUUACAGCCCAGAACUGACAGGGUCACAGGGCGGGCACAUAUACAGAAGGAUGUGUAUAUACAGAAGGAGAUUCAUUUUGGGAAACUGGCCGUCCCGCUGUGGACGCUGCAUGCAUGCUGAUCACUUCAGUCCUGUCCGACUCUGUGUGACCCCAUGGACUGUAGCCUGCCAGGCUCCUCUGUCCAUGGAAUUAUCCACGCAAGAACGCAGGAGAGGGUGGCCGUGCCCUCCUCCAGGGGAUCUUCCCAACCCUGGGAUCGAACCUGCACCUCCUGCCUUGGCAGGCGGGUUCUUUACCAUUGGCACCACCUGGGAAGCCUAGAACUGCAGAGCAGGCCAGCAGGCUGGACACUCCAAUGGAAGCUGAGAAUGCAGUCGUGAGUCUGAGGCAAAAUUUCUUUUUAUGACUUUUUUUAAAUUGGAGGACAAUUGCUUUACAAUUGGUCGGUGGCAGAAUUUCUUUGCUGCCACCUGGAGGCAGCAGUCUGUCCUCUUCAGGAGACCUUAAUUUCUGUUUUGCUUUUUCCUUAAGACAUUCAACUGAUUAUAUGAGGCCUACCCAUGUUGCGGAAGAUAAUCUGCUUGUCACCAAGUCAAUUGAUUUGAAUGUUAAUCACAUCUAAAAAAAUACCUUCACAGCAACAUCCAGACUGGUAUUUGACCAAACAACUGGGCACCAUUAGUUCCAUGGCCUAGCCAAGUUAAUGUAAAAUGAACUAUCACAUCUGACUCCAACACUCACCAAAUGCCCUAAACCCACAUGAAAACAGAGGGAAAGAGAGCUUUUGGUUCAAAACCUUAACAAAUCCGAACAUUUUCCUGCAACUCUUCACCUCCUCUGCAAAGGUGCUCCCAGGCCCCAGGCCAUGAUCGUGUCCAAACCCUCUGGGGAACCAGCGUCCAUCGCCUGCCCUUGUGACCCUGUCAGUUCUGGGUUGUAACCAUGUUUAUUCUCCUGACUCUGUUUCAUCCUUGGAUCCUCAGGGCUCAGCUUUCACUACACCUACUGCACACAGCAAGCGCCCAACAAACGUUUGCUCAGUGAGGAAGUUUCUGCUUCUGAAAUUCUGCCAGAGCCUCUAAGACCAAAGAAGAGAGGAAUUCAGGUUCCCUGACAAACCCUUGAUGCCCAGAGAACCCAGCAUCUAAGACGGCAGGAGCCUGUGUAUUUGUGUUAAAUAUUGAAUUUACCCAAGCCCACGUCAUGCCACGGCAAUGAGCACAGCUCUUCUAUAUAACAUGCUAGCAGAAACGCACGCUUGCCUUACUCACCAUCAGAUAGCAGCGAUGAGUCACUUCCUUGGGAGUGGGAGUUCAAGCCAAGCAUCUUGAUGUGGAAGGUUCCAGUUCUCUGGGCUUGUCUGUUGUUCAUUCUUUCCUUUACCCUAAAAGCAUUUCUUGGGUGCUGACUGCAUCAGGAGCUAAUCCCAGUCCUCAAGGAAUGUUUGGCCUAGGGCUCGAGAUUACAUCUUCAUGAAGAAAUGCCAGAUUCACUUGCUAUUUGGCCAUAAGGAAAUGCAGUGAAUCUUGGGUCAAAAUGUCAUGCUUUUUCAAUGACUUCAUCUUUAAACUUGACUCAGAGUCAAAGCUUGGUGAGGCAGGGGCCACUUCAGGUUUGCGCAAUUUCUUCUUUAGUAGAAUGUGACAUGGGCUUCCCAGGAGGCGCAGUGGUAAAGAAUCUGCCUGGCAGUGCAGGAGACACAAGAGACACAGCUUUGAUCCCUGGGUCAGGAAGAACCCCUGGAGUAGCCACUGGUAACCCACUCCAGUAUUCUUGCUUGGAAAGUUCCGUGGACAGAAGUGGGCUAUAGUCCAUGGGGUCACAAAGUGCUGGAGACGACUGGACGUGCACACACACACUUACAUAGACUGCGAGCUGUAAUAGUGCCCAUAUCAGGCUGACACUUUAACCACUUUAACUUGCAAAAACCAAGUCAAGGAAAAGUCCCUGGUCGUCUCCUUUCUCUUGCCCAUGUUUCCAAGUUGAACUUGGAAAACCAAGGGGAAAUAGAGAAAAAUUUCCUUUGUAAUUAUCACAAGAUUAGCAUACUGUGAAAUUUUAGAUUACAAACUAGAAAAGCAUAUUUGUCCAGAGUGAUGCUUUAUAAAACCCAGUAUGUCUCAAAGUAGAAAAUACCCUUCAGCCGCACCUUGUGUUGCUGAGCCCGUCUGUACAACAUCAUCUCCAAGACACCCCCGUUUGCUGUCCAUGUGCUGACAGAACAUGGGAGGUGAGUGUUUCUUGGCAUUUAGCCAUUCCAUACGGUGGGCGGAGGACAUCUCCUGGAAGUUUCCAUCUCCAUGCUAUUUUCAUUCCCACGUCUGGCUCAGGAGAAUACAGCUCAGGUAGUCCACACAGUAUGAGCCACAAAGGAAAGAAACUCGAUUUGAGAUAGAGAUUUCCCAAAUAAGGCACAAUAUUUAAAAUACCCACCUAUUUAAAGUCUAAAGACUUACAUUUUAGCUGUAGGAAUUAGAUUGAUAUGGAAUUUUAAGUCAACAGAAUCUGGAGAGCAGUUUGACAGCAUGGCAGACUGAGAUGAGAUGCCCUCUCCCCAAUAAUGUGCUGGAAAAUGUUGAACAACCAGCUCUUCCGAAAAUGCUGUGUGUAUAUAUAAGCUUAUUACACAUUUUCUUGAUUUAAAAGAUGUAUGCCUGGGUGCUGAGUCCUUUCAGUCGUGUCCAACUCUUUGCAACCCUAUGGGCUGUAGCCUGCCGGGCUCCCCUGUCCAUGGGAUUCUCCAGGUGAGAAUACAACAGUGGGUUGCCAUGCGCUCCUCUGGGGGGGUCUUCCCAAAUCAGGGGUGGAACCCGAGUCUCAUGUCUUCUGCAUUGGCAGGUGGGUUCUUUACCAUUAGCAUCACCAGGAAAUCCCCUUCGAGGAUGUAUAUAACAUAUAAUUUACAAAUUAUUUACAAAUUAUAUAUUUACAUAAUUUAUAUUUAAAUUAUUAUAUUUACAAAUAACAGUUAAAUAUAUAAUACUCUUUGUGGUAGGUUUCAUAUCACCUCCUGACUCUCCCAGAGCGCGCUUGUUGAGUUUUGCAGUCCAAUCUCUGUUUGCCGUCCAACCAUGAUUUGACAAAUGGAGUUGCAUUUUAAUCUGCUAACUCAUUUCCUGAUAGAUUUACUGUUAUAACAUUUGGUCUGUGACUCACUGUUAAACUAUUUCUCUUGCUUAUGCAGAUUAUGUUGAUCAAAGUGAAACCUCUCUCAGCCUCAGCACUAGACUUGACAUAUUUUUAAGGUUCAGUGCAGUUCAGUCGCUCAGUCGUGUCCGACUUUUUGCGACCGCAUGAAUCACAGUUUAAUCUGCAUUAUUAACAUUUUCUCAUCAUCUUCUUGGUUCUAGGGUUUCCCUGGUAGCUCAGAUAAUAAAGAGUCCUCCUGCAAUGCAGGAGACCCGGCUUCCACCCCCAACUCAGGAAGAUGCCCUGGAGAAGGGAACGGCAACCCACUCUAGUAUUCUUGCCUGGAGAAUUCCAUGGACAGACCACGUGGUCGCAAAGAGUCGGACACGACUGAGCAACUAACACUCUUAGCUCUAGACCAGGGAUUGUCAGACUGCGGCCCGGGGGCCAGAUCUGGCUUGAAGCCUGUUUUGUAAAUAAAGUUUUAUUGGAAAACAGCCACAUGCGUUUGUUUCCAUGGUAGCUGUGGCUGCUUUCACACUGCAAGAGCAGAGGUGAAUAGUUACAACAGAAACUGUGUGGCCCACAGAGCUGAAAAUAUUUACCGUCUGACCCUUUAGGGAACAAGUCUGUCAACCUUUGAACUUGAUGGUUAACAAAUGAUAAAUCAAGCCCUGAUUUGUGGUAUUGGCAGGUUUGUAUGAUAUAAAAGGUUCUCCCACUGCAGCCAGUUUCAAGCCUCUGCCGUGAUGUCACUGAAUGCAGAACUGGGAAGAACUGCUAAGAUGUUCAUCACACAGAAAUCCGACACAGAUACAGGAGACGGAAAUGGCAGCAAGAGCAUAGAGAACAGUGGAAGUAUAGUCCAAUCCCUUACAGGCGACGAGUUUUGAGUUUUUAUCGCCUGUGUUUUAUUGUAAUGUAUUUAAUUAUGGGUUUCUAUAAUUUAGUUUUUAAUAAUGGCUGUGUUUAGCAACUGGCUCAUAUAAUUCCUAAAAAUUUAGUCGUUGGUUCUUAUGAACUGAUACAGGCCAACGCUGGUACACUUCUGUCCCCUCCUAAAACUAGACCUCAGGGAAAUGCUAGCUAAACUGUAACAUAGCAACUAUAACAGGUGCUAGAAAUAGGAAGGGAGCUUGGAGCUGGAGCUGGAUUGGUGAGUGCGCUAGAAACAGGAGAGGGCCAGGGGAUAUCAAACCCUCAGGGCUGGAGGGCUUGAUACUCAAACAGGGAUAAGGGCCACAUGUGGGUAUGCACAGGAUUACUGAGACCCAGCGUUAAAUGGGGGCCCUGGAGGGCAGCCUCUAUAUAGAGAUUAGGAAAACAACCCAGGAGCCCUGGUAAUGGCAAGGAACCACAUCUGCCCGGGCAGAUUUUUUAACUCUGAUUUUAUUGGAGCAUAUUGGUUUACGAUGUGGUGUUGGUUUCGGGUGUGCAGCAAAACGUUCCAGUUAUAUGCGUGCACGUGUUCACUCUUUUUCAGGUUCGUUUCUCCUACAGGUUAUCACGGGGCUUCCUUGUGGCUCGGUGGUAAAGAAUCCUCCUGCAAUGCUGGAGACUCGCAGGAGACGUGGGUCCUAUCCCUGGGUCGGGAAGAUCCUCUGGAGAAGGAAAUGGCAACCCACUCCAGUAUUCUUGCCUGGGAAAUCCCAUGGACAGAGGAGCCUGGCCGACUAGAGUCUAUGGGGUCACAAAAGAGCUGGACACCACUAAAGAGCAACAACAUAAGUUAUCACAGACUACUGGGGAGAGUUCCCUGUUCUGUAAGUCGACCCUUAUUGGUUGUCUUUCUUAUACUUAGGAGUGUGUGUAUGUAUGUUCAUCCCAAAUUUCCCCUUUGGUAACCUUAAGCUUGUUUUUGAUAUCUGUAAGUCUAUUUCUGUUUUGUAAAUAAGUUCAUU
ensembl:lncRNA